rnacentral:rRNA from 1 species
GGGCGUUAAGUUGCAGGGUAUAGACCCGAAACCCGGUGAUCUAGCCAUGGGCAGGUUGAAGGUUGGGUAACACUAACUGGAGGACCGAACCGACUAAUGUUGAAAAAUUAGCGGAUGACCUGUGGCUGGGGGUGAAAGGCCAAUCAAACCGGGAGAUAGCUGGUUCUCCCCGAAAGCUAUUUAGGUAGCGCCUCGUGAAUUCAUCUCCGGGGGUAGAGCACUGUUUCGGCUAGGGGGCCAUCCCGGCUUACCAACCCGAUGCAAACUGCGAAUACCGGAGAAUGUUAUCACGGGAGACACACGGCGGGUGCUAACGUCCGUCGUGAAGAGGGAAACAACCCAGACCGCCAGCUAAGGUCCCAAAGUCAUGGUUAAGUGGGAAACGAUGUGGGAAGGCCCAGACAGCCAGGAUGUUGGCUUAGAAGCAGCCAUCAUUUAAAGAAAGCGUAAUAGCUCACUGGUCGAGUCGGCCUGCGCGGAAGAUGUAACGGGGCUAAACCAUGCACCGAAGCUGCGGCAGCGACGCUGAUGCGUUGUUGGGUAGGGGAGCGUUCUGUAAGCCUGCGAAGGUGGCCUGUGAGGGUUGCUGGAGGUAUCAGAAGUGCGAAUGCUGACAUAAGUAACGAUAAAGCGGGUGAAAAGCCCGCUCGCCGGAAGACCAAGGGUUCCUGUCCAACGUUAAUCGGGGCAGGGUGAGUCGACCCCUAAGGCGAGGCCGAAAGGCGUAGUCGAUGGGAAACGGGUUAAUAUUCCCGUACUUGGUGUUACUGCGAAGGGGGGACGGAGAAGGCUAUGUUGGCCGGGCGACGGUUGUCCCGGUUUAAGCGUGUAGGUGUGUGUUCCAGGUAAAUCCGGUUCACUUUAACACUGAGGCGUGAUGACGAGGCACUACGGUGCUGAAGCAACAAAUGCCCUGCUUCCAGGAAAAGCCUCUAAGCAUCAGGUAACAUCAAAUCGUACCCCAAACCGACACAGGUGGUCAGGUAGAGAAUACCAAGGCGCUUGAGAGAACUCGGGUGAAGGAACUAGGCAAAAUGGUGCCGUAACUUCGGGAGAAGGCACGCUGACACGUAGGUGAAGUGAUUUACUCAUGGAGCUGAAGUCAGUCGAAGAUACCAGCUGGCUGCAACUGUUUAUUAAAAACACAGCACUGUGCAAACACGAAAGUGGACGUAUACGGUGUGACGCCUGCCCGGUGCCGGAAGGUUAAUUGAUGGGGUCAGCGCAAGCGAAGCUCCUGAUCGAAGCCCCGGUAAACGGCGGCCGUAACUAUAACGGUCCUAAGGUAGCGAAAUUCCUUGUCGGGUAAGUUCCGACCUGCACGAAUGGCGUAAUGAUGGCCAGGCUGUCUCCACCCGAGACUCAGUGAAAUUGAACUCGCUGUGAAGAUGCAGUGUACCCGCGGCAAGACGGAAAGACCCCGUGAACCUUUACUAUAGCUUGACACUGAACAUUGAGCCUUGAUGUGUAGGAUAGGUGGGAGGCUUUGAAGUGUGGACGCCAGUCUGCAUGGAGCCGGCCUUGAAAUACCACCCUUUAAUGUUUGAUGUUCUAACGUGGACCCGUGAUCCGGGUUGCGGACAGUGUCUGGUGGGUAGUUUGACUGGGGCGGUCUCCUCCUAAAGAGUAACGGAGGAGCACGAAGGUUGGCUAAUCCUGGUCGGACAUCAGGAGGUUAGUGCAAUGGCAUAAGCCAGCUUGACUGCGAGCGUGACGGCGCGAGCAGGUGCGAAAGCAGGUCAUAGUGAUCCGGUGGUUCUGAAUGGAAGGGCCAUCGCUCAACGGAUAAAAGGUACUCCGGGGAUAACAGGCUGAUACCGCCCAAGAGUUCAUAUCGACGGCGGUGUUUGGCACCUCGAUGUCGGCUCAUCACAUCCUGGGGCUGAAGUAGGUCCCAAGGGUAUGGCUGUUCGCCAUUUAAAGUGGUACGCGAGCUGGGUUUAGAACGUCGUGAGACAGUUCGGUCCCUAUCUGCCGUGGGCGCUGGAGAACUGAGGGGGGCUGCUCCUAGUACGAGAGGACCGGAGUGGACGCAUCACUGGUGUUCGGGUUGUCAUGCCAAUGGCACUGCCCGGUAGCUAAAUGCGGAAGAGAUAAGUGCUGAAAGCAUCUAAGCACGAAACUUGCCCCGAGAUGAGUUCUCCCUGAGACUUAGAGUCUCCUGAAGGAACGUUGAAGACGACGACGUUGAUAGGCCGGGUGUGUAAGCGCAGCGAUGCGUUGAGCUAACCGGUACUAAUGAACCGUGAGGCUUAACCUU